rnacentral:lncRNA from 1 species
GAAAUACAAGCCUGAGCAGUUUAAAGGGUUUCUCCAUUUGAAUCCAAUCAACGGCAGUACUUUGCGACAGCAAUAAGGACGCACUGAAGCAACGGGAACAAUCAAGGUCACCAAACCGACCGUCAUUUCCGAGCUAACAAUUGUUCUUUGUCUAAAAAGUUGAAACAGGUAUAAUCCGAGACAACCGUGCAAGAAGCAGGUGUCGCCCAAAGAAGAAGGUACAUGGGUACAAGAAAUAUCUUGGCAAUAAGGAACUCACUCGAAAGGUAAGUUUCCACGAGACUCCCUUUUAUCUUCUACUGAAACAAGAAAAUCCAAAAAAAAAAGAGGUUAGCUAGCAUUCUCGAACUUUACCCCCAACCAGUCAGCAUUAGGGUUACAAACCCUAAACUGAGCGUUUCCAUGCAAUCAGCAUUAGGGUUUUAAACCCUAAACUGAAUUCUUUCCUUUAGUUAGCAUUAGGGUUUUAAACCCUAAACUGAACGUUUUCCUUUCAGUCAGCAUUAAGGUUUUAAACCCUAAACUGAACUUUUCCUUUUAAUCAGCAUUAGGGUUUUAAACUCUAAACUGAAUUUUUCCUUUAGUCAGCAUUAGGGUUUUAAACCCUAAACUGAAUUUUUCCUUUAGUCAGCAUUAGUGUUUUAAACCCUAAACUGAAUUUUCCCUUUAAUCAGCAUUAGGGUUUUAAACCCUAAAUUGAACUUUUCCUUUAGUCAGCAUAUGGGUUUUAAACCCUAAACUGAACUUUUUUCCUUUCAGCCAGCAUUAGGGUUUUAAACCCUAAACUGAGCUUUUCCGUGCAGUCAGCAUUAGGGUUUUAAACCCUAAACUGAAUUUUUUCCUUUAGCCAGCAUUAGGGUUUUAAACCCUAAACUGAGUUUUCCCUUGCAAUCAGCAUUAGGGUUUUAAACCCUAAACUGAACUUUUUUCCAUUUAGCCAGCAUUAGGGUUUUAAACCCUAAACUGAGAUUUUCCAUGCAAUCAGCAUUAGGGUUUUAAACCCUAAACUGAACUUUUCCUUGCAAUCAGCAUUAGGGUUUUAAACCCUAAACUAAACUUUUCCUUUAGUCAGCAUUGGGGUUUUAAACCCUAAACUGAACUUUUCCUUUAGUCAGCAUUAGGGUUUUAAACCCUAAACUGAACUUUUCCUUGCAAUCAGCAUUAGGGUUUUAAACCCUAAACUGAACUUUUUCCUUUAGUCAGCAUUAGGGUUUUAAACCCUAAACUGAACUUUUCUUUUCAGUCAGCAUUAGGGUUAUAACCCCUAAAC